CCUUCUGUCUGGACGGAAGUUGAAUGACGUCACUGAAACUUAUGAAAAAUAUCGAUCUUCCGUUCUGUAACGGAAUGUAAAGUCUUGUCUCUUUUCGUUAGUCGAGAAUAUAUUUUCUACGGAACAUUUUGUCAAUUAACCUAUAGAGAAACAAUUCAAAAAAUUGAUCUUUUCAAGUCAGAUCCAUCUAACACGGAGAGAUGUAUAUCUUGGAAACUCUGCGUACUUUGAUAAGAUGCGUCCCUUUUUUCUACAGAAAUACGCAAUCCUGGGAAUAUUUUCACAAAUUAAAAUAUUUCCACAGGUCUGAUCCAUCUUGGCAUAAUCUGACUAGCAAUCUCAUGUUCUUUCAAUGGAACUACGUUCUUUUGAUGCUAGUUGGAAUUUGCUACAACUUGUUCCUUGAUAAGUAUUUAAAUCUCGCUCUUUAUCCUCUGGUGGCCAUUUUUCUCUUGUCUGAUGAACGAAAAGGUAUAUUACAGUUCUUCAGCUUCUUUUACGCUGUCCUGUUUCUCUUGGCGAUCCUGUUUAUUGCUGCAGCAGAUUUAAAGGGACUCAUGUCAACAACAGUUUGGGUUGCUGUUGCAAUUUCUCUUCAUGCUUACUUUUGCAACCGAUUUCCAGGUCGUAGAAGUAGACGAGUACAGGGUGAUAUUUUGAGUUAUUUUAUAAUAACUUGUCUUAUGGUAUUUAUUGUUCAGAGUUCUAAGGAAUCACUAACAUCAAAUAAUGAUUCUGUUAAUUCAACUUUUGUUAAUUCGACUUCAUCAAUAUGAAUUAAAAAAAGAACUAAAUUUGGGCAUAAGCUUUCUUUUUAUCUAAUCCAGUUUGUAUUCCCAUAGUGUACUUUAAAAUUUAAAUUUACUUUAGAUUCUCUUUAAGAAUAUGAUAUUAAAAAUAUGUUAUGA